UCUUAUUGCUUAUGUUUAUUUAUUUAUUUUUUCCACAAUAUCUUGUUUUUAAAAAAAAUGUAUGAUGACUAUAUGCUCUGUAAGGUGACCUUGGGUGUCUUGAAAGGCGCCUCUAAAUUAAAUGUAUUAUUAUUAUUAUUAUUAUUAUUAUUAUUAAAACGCGUAUUCGUCGGUCCUUGAUCAGCGUCAACUGAAAGGUGACGUCAUGGCGUGGUUCUUUGGCGCCAGCUGACCCCACACGUGACACGAGCAAAUUUGAGGGCUCAUUUUUUAAAUGUUUACCGUUUAAAGAUUUCAAAAACACUCUGUCCCGAAGCACGUUUCUUCGAUAUUCGGUGCGAUAACUAGUAUCUUUGUUUACAAAGGAAGCAGAGAUAUGGAAGAACUCAAAUUUGAACAGCUGAUGGUCAAGCUGAGAAAACAUCAAGAGGGUAUGGCAGAGGCACCUCGCCUUGGUAUUAAACUAGGCAAUAAGACACAUUAUACAAUACAGAAAGACAUGCUCGUUCAAUUUUAUCCUUCUUUUAAGCGUGUGUCCCUGUAUUGGAUAUUAACGAAAACUCGUCGUUUGUUUAUAAAUCAACCACGUCUCUUAAUAAAAGUGAUAAAACGAUCUAACGACGGUACGCGUUACUAGGGGUAUAAAGGGGCGGGACUUUCAGUCACAUGGUUUAAGCGGCAUGAAGCGAGAGAGAGAGGACUUCUGAAAGAUCUAUAUCCGUCUGGGUUGUUUCUGACAUUGCUAUUGGAAAUACUUCUAAAAAAAUCUCCAUGUAUAUUAUUCUUGUUGUUGUUCAUUAUCCGGUCCGGUUCUAUUUCUUCUCCCUCCGGUGACUCUUUACGUGUAUACACAUGGGAAGCAGGAUGACGGAAAUAGCGUUGGGGUAGACCGGGAAAACGCCACAAUUCAUGACCCUCUUUCAGCCUAUAUGCGUCAUCCUCGUCAGUGUCCUUUCCAGGAUGUUUGUCAUCUUCUCCCGUAUGCUUUUUUUUUUUUACAAAAACACACAGAGGAGCGUAUCAUUUCAGCCAAAGUUAACAUCCAGCAAUUAAACAUUACUACAUCAUUGUUCUGUAUAUUUUUUACCUCAUAACCAGGCGUUUUUAGCUAGUAUAAUUUUAAAUGUUUUAAGGCAGGGCGCAGCCAACCAAUGCCAAUGACACUUUUUGCUCGCAAAGCCUUUUGGGUAACGUUUGAAAAUGUUUAAAAGUAAUUCAUCAAUAAUUUCAGUAAUAUUUAUUCCACAGUUAUACGUCAUGUUUUGCAUUGCUGUAAACAGGAUAAUUCUAUAUAUAUAUUUUUUAUUAAAUAGUAGCACCAUGAUGUAGAUAGUGUUACCAGAGGGUCACUUGAGUUCUGACAUCGUUGCUACGGUAUCAUUGGUGAGGUACAUCCUUACCUGUUUUUCUCUUCAAGAGAAUUACAGAAUAUGAUGAGCGGAGAUCUAAUGAGAUAUGAUUAUAUCUCCAUCCUGGCUGGGCGCAACAACCCUCCAGGACCGUUCUGAUUUGAUGAGUGUUGAAAGUUAAAAUCCUUGCAAAAUUCUUUGUACUUUGUACCUAUCUGAGCAGAUAAACUGGUCCUUGACGGAGACGUCAACGAAUCCCUCUCAGUUCAUGAUGCCUUGUUGGAAGAACUGGCAAAUUUACGAACUGAAGCUUACCAACUCAAAGCUACGCACCGAGACAAAAAAGACAAUUGCAGCUCAACAGGCAAAGCGAGGAGACGUUAGAACAGUACAGAUGCCAGAUCCAGGAAUUAAAGUUGAAGCACAGAAAGCUGCGGAUGAAGUUUGAAAACCAACUCAAUCAACUCAUAGAGCAGCACAAAAAUCUACUCACUAUAUUUACCCCAGAGAGACUUCCAUCUGAAAUAGAAAGCGCUCAGAAUUCAAAAUGCCAGUUAUUAGCCACUGAAAUUCUUAAGGUGGCACAGUUAAAUAUCCUAGAAGAGGAAGUCUAGAAGAGGUAAAGUGGAAGAGGAAGCCAGGAGGAGUGAUCUCAAGUUAUAUACAGAAAAUCCUUUGAAACAUUAACAAUUGUUAUCCUCAAUUGUAAUGAGCGGUUAUUUGUGAAGUUAACUAAAGGGUUUUGUUAUAAACCACUCCUUAUUUCAAAUUGGAUCCCGUAUGCAUGUGUAUGAACAAGGAAUUGUAUCCACAUUCAAUAACUGCUUAAUUCAUAGAGUGAUCCUUACAUAACUGUUGUAUUUGUCGGUUUACGUGUGCAGAAAAACCACUUAAUAUCAGUGUAAUAUUGUGAAAUUAAAUAAAUGGUUCAGAAUAUAUUGAAUAUAAUAAGGAUUGUUUUCAUGCUUCAUUAAAGGCUUUCACCAGAAAA